AAGAUCAUACUUCACAGGAUCAUUUCUGUAGUAUGUCUUCACAAUCUCUUCACUCAAACGUGGAGUUGAUGCGACCUCGACGAUGAAUUGUAGCGUCGCACCCUGAGCGUGAGAAAGGUGAUCGAACUUCAUUUGGAGUUUGAUCAUCAUCGAUGACCGUUCGCCAAAAUCCCUCGUGGAUUUUGGUCAUGGGUUUUUUGAUGCUUUCUGAGAGGU